rnacentral:tRNA from 1 species
GCACUCGUGCUGCAACUGGUUGACAGCCCGGUCUGAGAAGCCGGGGCCCGGCGACGGGCAUAAGGGUUCGAAUCCCUUCGAGUGCACCA